ensembl:lncRNA
GCGCCAGCACCUGGGACCGCCCCUCCUGUACACGGGGGCCGGUGCUGCGCCGAUGUCCCCGGCGCGCCCACGGGCGCGCCGGGGACAUCGGCGCAGCACCGGCCCCCGUGUACAGGAGGGGGGUUGCAGUGCCCGCCGGUGCUUCCCCUCCCUGUCCCCUGGAACGAGGAAGCGGCUCCGGCCACCUUCAGCCGUCACUCGGCAGUGUAGUUCUCCGCUGGUACCAUCCUCUCGCCCUGCAUCCCCGGGUGCAGGGACAUUUCACCACCCGGGGAUUGAAGGUGCUGGCUCUGGACAUGGCUGGGCAGAGAGGAGGGCUGCCCCUGCCCCUGCUGCUGCUGAGCCUUGCCGUGCUGGACUUCACGCUAGGGACCACCGUCACAGAUGUGACAGUCACUAUGUCCCCGACACUCCCUAUCUCCUCGACACCUACAAAGACCAUGGCACUGCUGCCCACCACCGACUCCACCACCGCAGCCACUGUCCCUCCCUCCAGCCCUGAAACCUCCACCCCGGAGGCGCUGACGGAUGCCUUCACAGCCAGCGAUGCAACGCCUCGCGGGAGCAGCGCGGCAGCCUCCAGCAUCACCACACCGCAGGCGAGCGGCAGCACAGCCCGCAGCACUCCUGGGGCGCCCACUGGCACCACGGUGCAGCCUGACCCCACCCCAACAGGGCCAGGGCUCACCACCGGCACCCCAACUCCAACCCCCAUGGCCACGACACCCAACUGUGCUGAGACGACCAUUGUCACGUCUGUGGGGACCAGCACGGCCCUGGCUGUCAGCUCGUUUGGAGUCAAAACAAGCCCGCUGCCUCCCUCCCCCUCUUCUCUUCUCUCCUCCACCCGGGUGGGCUCCACGCUUGGCACCAGCACCCGCCAAGGGCCAGCCGUGACCACGCUGCUUGGCAGCACAUCCCCAGGGACCGGCAGCGCCUCUUCGCCCACCGCACCGACAGCCACUUCGGACGAGCCCUCGACGACCCCGCUGGACACCACGGCCACCCCAGUUACCAGCAUGGGGGUCCCUGGGAGCACCUCCGCCCCCAGCCAGCCAGCCGGGACCACGGCCGGGACCACCCCUGGUACCUCCACCCCUACGGCACCCGAGACCCCCAGUGCCGCCACGGGGACCACUGCCACAGAUGUGACAGUCACCGUGUCCACAGCUCACCCUACCUACCCAACACCUAUGGAGACCUCGGCACUGCUGCCCACCAGCACCUCCACCACCGCAGCCACUGUCCCUCCCUCCAGCCCUGAAACUGGAGCCUCCACCCCUGAAACUGGACCCUCCACCCCAGAGAUGUCCAGUACAUCACCAGGGCCCGGCAGCACCUCUUCUCCCACCAUGCCUCCUCCCACCGCACCAGCACCGACAGCUGCUUCGGCCGAGCCCUUGACAUCAGACACCACGGCCACCCCUGAUACCAGCACGGGGGUCCGUGGGAGCACUCCCGCUCCCGGCCAGCCAGCGGGAACCACAGCCAGAGCCACCCCUGGCAUCUCCACCGUGACCACGGGGCUAGUCCCAGGCACCCCGACAGCACCCGAGACCCCCAGUACAGCCACGGGCGUGGAGCCCUCUUCCCCCGCCACCGACUCAACCCAGACCCCAGAGGUUACCCUCAGCACCCCUGCAGACCUACCAACGACACUGCCCGUCUGCGACACCGCCACGUCCAACACCAGUGGAGGGCUGUUCUCCUGA